rnacentral:rRNA from 1 species
UACGUAGGUGGCAAGCGUUGUCCGGAAUUAUUGGGCGUAAAGCGCGCGCAGGCGGUCCUUUAAGUCUGAUGUGAAAGCCCACGGCUCAACCGUGGAGGGUCAUUGGAAACUGGGGGACUUGAGUGCAGGAGAGAAGAGUGGAAUUCCACGUGUAGCGGUGAAAUGCGUAGAGAUGUGGAGGAACACCAGUGGCGAAGGCGGCUAACUGGUCCAGAUCUGACGCUGAGGUGCGAAAGCGUGGGGAGCAAACAGG